rnacentral:rRNA from 1 species
AACGAACGCUGGCGGCAUGCCUAACACAUGCAAGUCGAACGAGACCUUCGGGUCUAGUGGCGCACGGGUGCGUAACGCGUGGGAACCUGCCUUUAGGUUCGGAAUAACUCAGAGAAAUUUGAGCUAAUACCGGAUGAUGUCUUCGGACCAAAGAUUUAUCGCCUUUAGAUGGGCCCGCGUUGGAUUAGCUAGUUGGUGGGGUAAAGGCCUACCAAGGCGACGAUCCAUAGCUGGUCUGAGAGGAUGAUCAGCCACACUGGGACUGAGACACGGCCCAGACUCCUACGGGAGGCAGCAGUGGGGAAUAUUGGACAAUGGGCGAAAGCCUGAUCCGGCAAUGCCGCGUGAGUGAUGAAGGCCUUAGGGUUGUAAAGCUCUUUUACCCGAGAUGAUAAUGACAGUAGCGGGAGAAUAAGCUCCGGCUAACUCCGUG